UUGAGGGGUACCCGAGGCGUACGAUCGAGCCUACGACGGGUUCGGGAGUGACUGAUCCAAAGAGUCGGCAUUGGGGUGAAAG
rnacentral:sRNA from 21 species